rnacentral:rRNA from 1 species
UACGUAGGGUGCAAGCGUUAAUCGGAAUUACUGGGCGUAAAGCGUGCGCAGGCGGCUUUGCAAGACAGAUGUGAAAUCCCCGGGCUUAACCUGGGAACUGCAUUUGUGACUGCAUGGCUGGAGUGUGGCAGAGGGGGGUGGAAUUCCACGUGUAGCAGUGAAAUGCGUAGAGAUGUGGAGGAACACCGAUGGCGAAGGCAGCCCCCUGGGCUGACACUGACGCUCAUGCACGAACGCGUGGGGAGCAAACAGG